rnacentral:tRNA from 8 species
GGCGGGGUGGCAGAGUGGUUAUGCAACGGCCUGCAAAGCCGUGUACGACGGUUCGAUUCCGGAUCCCCGCCUCCA